AUACACCUGUUCACCUACGAUCACCGAAGUUAAGCAACGAUGAGUCUGGUAAGUAUCUAGAUGGGUGACCGGUUUGGAAUAUCAGGUGCUGUAA